CAAAGGUUUGGAGGGCAGAGGCCAUAGCUUCUCUUUCCCUACCUGCACCCAGACUCCUAUGUCCAGGGUGAAGGCGAGUGAAAGAAGGUGACCGAGCCAGAAGGAGAGAGCACAGAUGACUUGGUGAUGGUAUGGUAUGGUGAGUUGUGGGGAGAAAGACGGGGGUGGUACAGAGGUUGGGAUGGGUGGAAUGAGGACUCUGUCUUCCUCUUUUCAUUUCACUAUGGAUGAAGGAGAAAGAGAGAAAAAGAGAAAGAGAAAGAGAGAAAGGGGGUGGGGAGAGAAGCGAGACAGAUGGCAGAGUGGAGAGGCGGCAGCCAGUGCCGGCACUGCCCAGCUUGGGCGGACCCAGCUUCCCCCGCCUGCCAGCUCUCCAAAUGCCACCCUUCCCCCAUCUUCCCCUCUCCCCAUCCCCCCAGCUUGGCACUGAUCUCAGGGAGAGAGAGGGAGGGAGGCUGGGCAAAGAGCAUCUGUUCCCUCCAUUCUCCUAGCUCCAUCGGCUGCCAACCUAAGGCCAUCGCCUGCCUCCAUCACCCCUUCGCCUGCCUGCCUACCACCCAAUCCCAAAUGGGUGCUGGAUCAGGUGCCGAAUCUGGCUGCCUCCUCGGGUCCUCCUUCUCAUCACUUCUUAGGCAUGGAGAGAUGAAGGACAGAUGGAGAGAUGAAGGACAGAUGGAGUACCGCACAAGGAUACAAUGGAGGAAGCAGGCCAUGACUAAGACCCCAAGGAUGAAGAAUGGAGAGCCCUGA
rnacentral:lncRNA from 1 species